ACCUAGCCCCGACAGUAGCGGCAUCCUUUUUGUUUUUUCUUUAAAAACAAAAAGAUACAGCGAAUGGCGGGAACUGCC
rfam:Flavobacterium branchiophilum FL-15, complete genome.